CAGUGACAGAGGCAGGAAAUAGAGACAUAAUAGCUUCUUCCUGACGGGGGAGACAGUAAGUCACACCGGAAGCCUGAGAGUUCCUCCCUCCCCCCCCCCCCCCCAAUCUGAGCUUCCAAGUGUCUCCUGCAGAAAUCCUGGGGGGGGGUCCCCCUCCCCCCUCCUCGACCCUUUGGGGGCUUCCGGGCAAAGUCUGCUUCUCUUCCUGAGCAAACUGUUUCCUGGGCUCUAGACUGUGGCCGAUUGUGAAGGGGCAGGGCAGGUCCCCGAGAGCCUCCGCAGCCGGGGAUCAGAGGCUCUGCGGGAGCUGCGGGGCCGCCUUUGCCGACACAGGUGCUGCUUGUGGAUGGGAACGAGAUAAAUGGGAGGCAGAGGGAAGGGGAGGGAGUCAGACAAGGCCUCUCGGUCGGAGAAAGCUACGGCCUCUGGGUCUCCUUGUGUCGUCCUCUCACCGAGGGGGUCCCUUCUGGGCCGGAUCCCCAGCAGCCACUGUCAGGUCACCGGCCACAAUCCCACAGAAGUGGAGACAGCAUGGAGCUGAUUCCAGUCCCUGCCGCACUUGCUGCCCAUCCAGAAGAGCAAAUCUCCAGAGAAAUAAAUACAAGGUCACUGGCCACAGGACUCGAUCCCCCAGAAGCAGGCACAGUGUGGAGGUGAUUCCAGUCCCUGCCGCACCUGCUGCCCGUCCCCAAGCGCAAAUCCCCGGAGAAAGAAGUACAAGGGAAGCAGCUGAUCUUUUUAAUAAUAAUCCUUAACUUUGAAUAUAAUUACAUAAUUAAUAUCCCAAGUUGUACUAAUAUGUGACCAUGAUUAAAUCAGGCCUGCAGAGGACUCUCUGUCUAGGUAUCCAGGACUUAUUAUAUUCUUCUUUUAUAAACACGCUGACAUUUUAUUCAGUGAGGCUGGUGCAGUGCUGUAAGGAGCGAGUGAUGUUCCUUCUGCUCAGAGAUGCGGGUUCAGAAGCAAAAGAAUUCGCUGACCCCAGAGGCCGGGGCAAAAAUCGGAAGCUUUAUUGAGAAACCCCAAGAGCCAUUAUCUGGGCGGGCAUAUUUUCUCAAUGGAGAGAAAUCUGUAAAGAAUACGUUUCCAGAAGAACGAUUUUAUCGGAAAGUCUAGGGAUAGUUUGAUAAUACUCAAUUGAAUGUGAAGUUUUUCCUGAGACUGUGACUUCCCCAAAGAUCCAUAGGAGUUUGUUUUGCUCUUGAAUGGGACAAAUUAUCACACUCUGAGAGGAUGUGAGACCAUUUGGCAUCUAUAGAUCAAAGGGGGAUGUGGUUUUUGUGAUUUGACACAAUUUUUACAGAGUUCACGAGGGUCAUACAUAGUUCAUUCGCAUCAAGGUGACUACUGUAUUAAAGAGUCCAACUGGGAUUUGAAUCCAGCUCCUCUCCCUCCAAUGGUAGGGUUCUUAACCGUGUUCUCCAUCUCUGCCCCCGCUCUCCAUCCUGAACAAAGCUGCUCCUGAUUCCUUUCAGUCCCUGCCCAGCUUCUCUCAUGUUCAGUCUGUACCUCCUGCCUCAUUUCCCUCCCCCAGUCACCCCUGAGGGGCUUUGAUGGGACUGAAUGUUGCCCCUAGUGACAGACUCAGCCCCAGAGAAAAUACUGGAGACCAUUAGUCCAAACCCUUCAUUUGCCAGAGACCAAGGGGAUGGCGAGAUCUGCCUGAGAUAAUGAAGCUGGGGAACUUUUGAGGAAGGAUUCGAACCAAAGUCUUCCUGACUCCCUGGUUAGGGUGUGUCUGUGAGAUCCCGCUGUCUCCAAGCUCUCAUCUCACAUGGUGACUCAUCUCUCUAGAUGCCCUAAGGCUGGAAGAAUAAGGGAUCAAUUUCUUUUUGAAACUUUAAGGGAAAAAUAAUUUCCCCCAAAUACAAAGUGCCAUGUAGUUAGUGUGAACUGAAUUCUGGGGAUUUCUGCCUAUGACAUGACACUUUGUCAUGAAGGAGGCUCCUUACCUCCAGCCUGUACUGAAAGGACGAGGUGGGGAAGCAUUUACAGGACAGGGUGGACUGUGACAGAUAUCAGCAGGUUCAAUACAAUCCUCAUGCCCUCACCAAUUAUUGAAGGCUUCUGUAAGGACGAUGUCACAUAAACAGUCACAUAAAAGGUAUAAAACCUUUGCCAAAGCUAUAGAUUAGAAAUUCUGGUUCAUCUUAAGAGAAGAUCCUGGGAUACAAUGGGAACAGGGGAGGGCUGAGUCCUCUUAACAGCUAGCAACGGGCCCUGAAUAAAAUAACGUGGAUAUAUAGGAAUAUGAAGCAACAAAAGUUUAGCCACCAUGGAUUCGGUUGCAUUUUACCAAUAGUUUCUUUUUUCUUUUGAUACACUAUCUAGAUUUAAUAAUAAUCCUGUAAGUCUCAAAGGGGGACUCGGGUAACAAGGUAGCAUAUUAUCCUCAUGAUCUUGGAAUAGAUUCAAUGUGCAAGAAUUUGACAUAAAUAUAUCAUUUCUUUCUUAACCCCUCCCCAUUUUAGAGAGAGAGAGACAUAGACAUCGGAGUCCCAAGUCAAAUAAUAAAAGAGCAAACAAACAAAUUGUCUAUAAAAUCUGAAUCCAAGUUGUGACCACUUCCGAGGGGGAAAAUUUUUUCAUUUUUCAUCGUUCUGCUGUGCUGUGUGAACACAAUGACAACGAACACUGAGCACGAUGCCAUUGGUAUCUGAUUUCCUCUCUUUAAACCCCACAUAGCCAUCGAUUAUGAAUCUGCGAUAUUUAGGAAAGAGCUGGGGGGAAUUUCAGCCAAAGUGUCAUGUUCUAAGGUUAAGUUUGUGUUUGAAGGUUUUUUAAUAGAGACAUUGUACAAAACCCCCACAACAAGUGAAAAAAGCCUUUGUGUCAGAUGUAGGGACUGAAGGCCCAAACAUUUUCUUGUAUUGGAGAAUCAAAUGAACAAAAAUCACACAGACGUUUGUAUCUGUGGAAGAGCUGAGCCAACGAGGAAAUGAGGUCUGGGGCUCAAAAGUAUAAGGAACAGCUGAGUAGCUGAUGAACAGUCUCUGAGUUUGAUGCUUCUUAUUUCUUGGGUUUUAUAUUAAUUCACUUUGGGGGGAAACACCAUUUGUGGGUCCCCGUGAGCCGCCUGUCCAGCGUGGGUCUAGGCCAGAUUUAGACUCUGUAAAGUAUCAGCUGAUGUUAGCAGAGAUCCAGCCCUUCAAUGAGCCCUCUGUUGGGGGAGGAGGAGAAAAGGGAAGCCUGGGACAGCAGGACUGAGCCGCCUCCCCCUGGGUGAUCAAACUCAGCUCCUGGAGCCAAAGGGACUUGCCCCCCUUCUCCUUCCCAUUUCUCCCCACUUCUGUGCCAACAUGGACCACUUCAGCGAGUGAGAAAUUGCUCCUUACAAACAACAUUCUGCACAAGGACAGACUGAGGG
ensembl:lncRNA